UACGUAGGUGGCAAGCGUUGUCCGGAUUUACUGGGCGUAAAGAGCGCGCAGGCGGUCGUUCAAGUCGCGUGUGAAAGCCCCCCGGCUCAACUGGGGAGGGUCACGCGAUACUGAUCGACUCGAAGGCAGGAGAGGGUAGUGGAAUUCCCGGUGUAGUGGUGAAAUGCGUAGAUAUCGGGAGGAACACCAGUGGCGAAGGCGGCGACCUGGACGGACAUUGACGCUGAGACGCGAAAGCGUGGGAG
rnacentral:rRNA from 1 species